CACGUAGGGCGCAAGCGUUGUCCGGAAUCAUUGGGCGUAAAGAGCGUGUAGGCGGCCCGAUAAGUCCGCUGUGAAAGUCCAGGGCUCAACCCUGGAAUGCCGGUGGAUACUGUCGGGCUCGAAUCCGGAAGAGGUGAGUGGAAUUCCUGGUGUAGCGGUGAAAUGCGCAGAUAUCAGGAGGAACACCAAUGGCGAAGGCAGCUCACUGGGACGGUAUUGACGCUGAGACGCGAAAGCGUGGGGAGCAAACAGG
rnacentral:rRNA from 1 species